ACAGAGGGAUCCACCCCUUUCCUGGCUGCCUACACAGAAAGCAGCCAUGGGGGACUUGCCGAGGACUUUGUCCACCAAGUGAUGAAAGCAUGCAAAUGCCUCCGAAUCAAAGAUGAGGAAAACAAAAGCUCAGAAACUAUCUUGGAGUCAGAAAGUAAGAAGGAGCUUAGAAAGGCUUAACAUUUUCCAUGCUCCUGCCUGGCUUCAGAGCUCAUGCUCUCUGCCUUACCAUGGCAGGUGAAAGAUGACCCCAAAUUCUUAGGUACACCACCUGCCAAAAGACCCCUCCUAUGGAUUCUGUGACUACUUCAAUGAGAAGAAUAGGGCAGAAAAGAUGCUGAGAACUUAAAAUCUGACAGUGUCCAUUUCCUGUCUUUGGAAACUUUCUGUUAAAGGCCUGAGCCACGUAUGAAGUCUGAAUCUUCCCACCAUGCUAGAGAAGCCACAUGUUAUUGUUCUGGUCAACAAUCCCAGCUUACCCAACCAGAUAGUGUAUCAUGCAUAUGAAUAAAGGAUUCUUAGAUUCUUCAGUCUAGCCCUUCACCAGCAGAACACCAUUCUUGGCAUCAUGUGGGGCAGAAGGACCACCCAGCUGAGCCUUAUCCAAAUUCCUGACCACAAAAUCAUAAGAGAGAAUGACCUCUUUCAUAUAGCUGAAUGGAGCAACAUGUUUAGCCAAGUUCAUGUCCAAGGGAGGAGAACCUUCAGCUUGCACUGAGUCCUGGCCAUUGGAGAAGCCGUGAGACUAGACCUUGUGUAAAGCAGCUGACUCUGCCAUGAGGGAAAUGCCCUUUUGUUUACUGAGCUUCUCCCACCCAUGCCUUGCUUUACUUUCCUCUAAAAGCCUGAGAUACUGGGAAUAAGAGUCUCAGCCUCCAAGAAAGGGAGAACACAUCAAGAGAGUUGGGAUUUCUGGGGUAAUCAAGUUCACUUGAUUGAUUAGCCUAAGUGCUCAAGUAAAUUUCAAAUCACAGUGUCAUGUAUCAUUGUCCACGUCCUUCCUCCAAACACUCCCCACCUCCCACCCAAGGGCCCAUGUAACUUGCUAUUGAGAACCUUUGAUUUCUUAGGUAUUUGUGUGGUAGGGUUUUGUUGUCUCUCCUGAAGAAAAUGGUGGCCAUUUGUACUCAGCUGUGGAAUAAAGGAAAUCAUGACAUA